rnacentral:rRNA from 1 species
GACGAACGCUGGCGGCGUGCUUAACACAUGCAAGUCGAACGGAAGGGCCCUGCUUUUGUGGGGUGCUCGAGUGGCGAACGGGUGAGUAACACGUGAGUAACCUGCCCUUGACUUUGUGAUAACUUCAGGAAACUGGGUCUAAUACCGGAUAGGAGCUCCUGCUGCAUGUUGGUGGUUGGAAAGUUUCGGCGGUUGGGGAUGGACUCGCGGCUUAUCCGCUUGUUGGUGGGGUAGUGGAUUACCAAGGCUUUGACGGGUAGCCGGCCUGAGAGGGUGACCGGCCACAUAGGGACUGACAUGAGGCAGAGAUUCCGACGGGAGCGAGCAGUGGGGAAUACUGAACGAGGGGCGGAAGGCGGAUGCAGCAACGCCGCGGGUGGGAUGACGGUCUUCGGGUUGUAAAACGCUUGCGUAUGUGACGGAGCGUGAGUUAAGGGUAUGGGUACAGAAGGACACGCUAACUAAGGU